rnacentral:rRNA from 1 species
UGAAGUUAGGAUUCUCGAAAACGACACCUAAGUUUUCUGGAAAGGAAUGCCACAGAGGGUGAUAGCCCCGUACGGUGUUGACUCGAUACAGAGUCCUAACAUGGAGUCGAGUUGUUUGGGAAUGCAGCUCAAAUGGGUGGUAUGCUCCAUCUAAGGCUAAAUAUUUGCGAGAGACCGAUAGCGAACAAGUACUGUGAAGGAAAGAUGAAAAGAACUUUGAAAAGAGAGUGAAAUAGUACGUGAAAUUGUUGAAAUGGAAGGGUAGGCCGCUAACCAUGUAGGACCGUGUUUGGGGGGAAGAUAAAUGCUGUAGAAUGUGGCUCCUC